GAUGAAGAACUCAGCGAAAUGCGAUAAGUAAUGUGAAUUGCAGAAUUCAGUGAAUCAUCGAAUCUUUGAACGCACCUUGCGCCCUUUGGCUAUUCUGAAGGGCAUGCCUGUUUGAGUAUCAUGAACACCUCAACUCUCAUGGUUCGCCAUGAUGAGCUUGGACUUUGGGGGUCUUGCUGGCCUACGGUCGGCUCCUCUCAAAUGAAUCAGCUUGCCAGUGUUUGGUAGAGUCGCAGGUGUGAUAACUAUCUACGCUUGUGGUUUUCUGCCAGAUAACCUUCAGUGAUGGAGGUUCGCUGGAGCUUAUAAAUGUCUCUCCCCAGUGAGGACAGCUUUUUGAACGUUUGAUCUCAAAUCAGGUAGGACUACCCGCUGAACUUAAGCAUAUCAAUAAGCGGAGGA
rnacentral:misc_RNA from 1 species